rfam:Pan troglodytes isolate Yerkes chimp pedigree #C0471 (Clint) chromosome 16, whole genome shotgun sequence.
GCCGGGCGUGGUGGUGCACGCCUGUAGUCCCAGCUACUCGGAGGCUGAGGCAGGAGAAUCGCUUGAACCCGGGAGGCAGAGGUUGCAGUGAGGCAGAGAUCAGGCCAUUGCACUCCAGCCUGGACAACAGAGCGAGACUCUGUCUCAA